rnacentral:tRNA from 1 species
GUUUCGUAAGUUUUUACUACAACAGUCAAUCUUGUAAAUUGAAAAAACAAGGUUAAAUUCCUUGACGAAACUCCU